rnacentral:rRNA from 1 species
CGGCAGCGCGGGGCAACCUGGYGGCGAGUGGCGAACGGGUGAGUAAUAUAUCGGAACGUACCCUGGAGUGGGGGAUAACGUAGCGAAAGUUACGCUAAUACCGCAUACGAUCUAAGGAUGAAAGCAGGGGACCGCAAGGCCUUGUGCUCCUGGAGCGGCCGAUAUCUGAUUAGCUAGUUGGUAGGGUAAAAGCCUACCAAGGCAUCGAUCAGUAGCUGGUCUGAGAGGACGACCAGCCACACUGGAACUGAGACACGGUCCAGACUCCUACGGGAGGCAGCAGUGGGGAAUUUUGGACAAUGGGCGCAAGCCUGAUCCAGCAAUGCCGCGUGAGUGAAGAAGGCCUUCGGGUUGUAAAGCUCUUUUGUCAGGGAAGAAACGGUGGGGGCUAAUAUCCUUCACUAAUGACGGUACCUGAAGAAUAAGCACCGGCUAACUACGUGCCAGCAGCCGCGGUAAUACGUAGGGUGCAAGCGUUAAUCGGAAUUACUGGGCGUAAAGCGUGCGCAGGCGGUUUUGUAAGUUUGUCGUGAAAUCCCCGGGCUCAACCUGGGAAUGGCGAUGAAGACUGCAAGGCUAGAAUCUGGCAGAGGGGGGUAGAAUUCCACGUGUAGCAGUGAAAUGCGUAGAGAUGUGGAGGAACACCGAUGGCGAA